rnacentral:rRNA from 1 species
GAUGAACGCUGGCGGCGUGCCUAAUACAUGCAAGUCGAGCGAACAGACGAGGAGCUUGCUCCUCUGACGUUAGCGGCGGACGGGUGAGUAACACGUGGAUAACCUACCUAUAAGACUGGGAUAACUUCGGGAAACCGGAGCUAAUACCGGAUAAUAUAUUGAACCGCAUGGUUCAAUAGUGAAAGACGGUUUUGCUGUCACUUAUAGAUGGAUCCGCGCCGCAUUAGCUAGUUGGUAAGGUAACGGCUUACCAAGGCAACGAUGCGUAGCCGACCUGAGAGGGUGAUCGGCCACACUGGAACGGAGACACGGUCCAGACUCCUACGAGAGGCAGCAGUAGGGAAUCUUCCGCAAUGGGCGAAAGCCUGACGGAGCAACGCCGCGUGAGUGAUGAAGGUCUUCGGAUCGUAAAACUCUGUUAUUAGGGAAGAACAAAUGUGUAAGUAACUAUGCACGUCUUGACGGUACCUAAUCAGAAAGCCACGGCUAACUACGUG